UACAGAGGGGGCAAGCGUUAUUCGGAAUUAUUGGGCGUAAAGAGCGUGUAGGCGGCUUUACAGGUCCGUUGUGAAAACUCGAGGCUCAACCUCGAGACGCCGGUGGAAACCGUAAGGCUAGAGUCCGGAAGAGGAGAGUGGAAUUCCUGGUGUAGCGGUGAAAUGCGCAGAUAUCAGGAGGAACACCCGUGGCGAAAGCGGCUCUCUGGGACGGUACUGACGCUGAGACGCGAAAGCGUGGGGAGCGAACAGG
rnacentral:rRNA from 1 species